rnacentral:rRNA from 1 species
AUUGAACGCUGGCGGCAUGCCUUACACAUGCAAGUCGAACGGCAGCACGGGUGCUUGCCCCUGGUGGCGAGUGGCGAACGGGUGAGUAAUACAUCGGAACAUGUCCUGUAGUGGGGGAUAGCCCGGCGAAAGCCGGAUUAAUACCGCAUACGAUCUACGGAUGAAAGCGGGGGACCUUCGGGCCUCGCGCUAUAGGGUUGGCCGAUGGCUGAUUAGCUAGUUGGUGGGGUAAAGGCCUACCAAGGCGACGAUCAGUAGCUGGUCUGAGAGGACGACCAGCCGCACUGGGACUGAGACACGGCCCAGACUCCUACGGGAGGCAGCAGUGGGGAAUUUUGGACAAUGGGCGAAAGCCUGAUCCAGCAAUGCCGCGUGUGUGAAGAAGGCCUUCGGGUUGUAAAGCACUUUUGUCCGGAAAGAAAUCCUUGGCCCUAAUACGGUCGGGGGAUGACGGUACCGGAAGAAUAAGCACCGGCUAACUACGUG